GUGGGGAAUAUUGCGCAAUGGGGGCAACCCUGACGCAGCGACGCCGCGUGAGUGAGGAAGGCCUUCGGGUCGUAAAGCUCUGUCAAGAGGGAAGAAGUGCAUGGUGGUUAAUAUCUGUCAUGUUUGACGGUACCUCUAAAGGAAGCACCGGCUAACUCCGUGCCAGCAGCCGCGGUAAUACGGAGGGUGCAAGCGUUGUUCGGAAUCACUGGGCGUAAAGGGCGCGCAGGCGGCCUGAUCAGUCAGAUGUGAAAGCCCACGGCUUAACUGUGGAAGUGCAUUUGAAACUGUCAGGCUUGAGUACCAGAGGGGAAAGUGGAAUUCCCGGUGUAGAGGUGAAAUUCGUAGAUAUCGGGAGGAAUACCGGUGGCGAAGGCGACUUUCUGGCUGGAUACUGACGCUGAGGCGCGAAAGCGUGGGGAGCAAACAGGAUUAGAAACCCCUGUAGUCC
rnacentral:rRNA from 1 species